GGCCAAGUGUGUUGACACACACAAGGAGUUUGGUUCCAGCAGUUUGUGACUCUCAAAGACUGGCUCCCAACAAAUUUAAAAAUAUGUACAUCUUCGGAAGACUACAUCUCAGGAAUAGUUUCUUCAGAAGAAGAACUGAAACAUCUACUUGAAAGUCACAAGUGUACAUCAGGCACAUCUUACACAGUUUGGACUGAUGACAGUCACAAAAAACAGAAAGUGACACCACAAUGUCUAUGGAAGACUAUUCAGAACAUGUCCCACUCUCUGUGAAAAGAAGGGUGAUGUAUGCUUGUCAGCACGGAAAGAACUACAGUACAAGAAGACAACCACAACAAAUGAUUUGGUAUGUAUCGCUACACAUUUUGAUUACCACACUAGUUAUGAAUUCCAUGCGGAGGGUGAGUAAAUGACAGAAAUUUCAUUUUUGGGAUGAACUACUAUAACCCUUUAGUGGCAAAAAUGUUUAAAGGUACACUAUAUAAUUUUUUUUUUUAUAACAUUUUAUGCAUCUAACGGAAGGACAUUGCAGCUGGAGCUAGUCCACAGCAAUUGGUGUCUCACUUGGUCUUAAAUAGUAUAACAUGAAUAAGUACACUUAAAAGAUUAUAGGUGUACUGUACUGAUUCAGGACAAAAGACAAAAACAUGGUUUGGAAGAUGUGUUUAUGGUGUACUCAACCAUUAUAUAAAUGUUGUAAAUGUUGUAAUGUGCCUUUAAAAUGUAAGAAAUUCAUAUACAUUAUUUGCACAGUUUAUAUUUGUCUACAUAACUAAUUUGUACCACUUGAGCAUAAAUCAUUCAAUCUUUUUUUAAUGCAGGGAAACAGGGAUUCUGCAGUCAUUCAACGAAUUUAGAUACAGUGCCCUUCAAAAGUAUUGGAACAGUAAAGACAAAAUUGUUCUGUUACCUGUGGUGUCAAGACAUAUAUUAAUAUGAGGCAGGAGUACAGAAUGUCUCAUUUUAUUAUUGACUGUUUCAACACUAAAUGCUUUAUGUGAGCAUAAGUAUUGGGAUGGUUAAGUAAAUGUAAAAGCUUAUAUGUAAUUGCAAAUCCCUUGCAAGCAAUCACAGGAGCAAGUCUGUGAUCAAUAGACAUCUCCAGACUCUUGGUUUCACAUUUUUCCAGGACUUUAAUACAACCGUUUUUAACAGUUGCUUGUUUUAAGUGAUUUUACUGACAUUUUAGAGUUUUUUCAUUUGUCUGUCAACAAGUGCUGUUGAUCUUCUUAGCUGACCUGGUCAUUGUUGAUUGCUGAAGCUUGCCAGUGGUUUCUAUCUUUUUCAGGACAUUCCAAUUCAAUCUCCAGAUUUAAAUCCUAUUGAACAAGCGUUUCACCAGUUCAAAUGGAAACUCCCCAAACAAGCACAGUUGAGUGUGAAACCAAGAGUCUUGAAAACACCAUUUGCUAAGGGGGAUGUUUUCAUUUUCAUCAUUAACACAUACAUUUUAAACCACAAACUACGGAGUAUGUUUUGGACAUUAUUUAACCUUGUAAAAGACGAACAAAAAUUUUAGAAUAACAACAUUUCUUACUCCAAGUUUUAGUGGUGUAGUGCGUAUGUGUGUCUCUGUUGUUAAAGUUUAUUGUUAAUCUGAUAGAUGGCCAUUUGUAAUUAAUUUAUAGAAGAUGAAUUACAUUUUAUUGUCCAAGUACCUGUUACUUUGUUCAAUGAUAGUAAAGUUGAAUCUAAUCUAACCAAUCUGAUGAUACAAAAGGAGACACAUGGAGUUAAUGGUAAGGAAAACCAGCUGAGUGAAGAAGGUUUUGUGUUUGAACUCUCACAAUUAAGCUGGUGUUCUGAAAAGGUCUAAAAAAUUAAAUAUCUGGAUUUUGGAGUUAGUUGAAUCAGUUAAAAUGGUAAAGUUUUUUUUUCAAUAGACAUAUUUUUGUGAAAAGAGGGUGGGUGGUGGCAGUGGGGCUCAUUGGGUGCUCAGCACCCCUAAAGCUCUGAUCCUAGAAUCGCCCCUGGUGAAGGCCAUGCAGCAGUGAAGAACUGGACAAAAACUCAGGACCUCUUCCUCUUUGAUAUUGUUUUUGUUCCUUUGCACCUAGGCAUGCACUGGGCUUUGGCUGUAAGUCAUAUAUAAGUUGGGAUGCAUUGUUUUAAUAUUUACAUGUUUUUAAAAAGUGUAAAUCAAUAUUUUUGAUUUUCAGUUUGUCUUUAACUUGUCUAUAUUGCUUCUACCCACCAGGUAAUUGAUUUUAAAUCGUAGACCAUGCAGUGCUAUGACUCAAUGAAUCAGAGACAUGAUAUCUGUCACAUGUUGUUGUGAGUGACUCCUUAUUUUUGCUGUUAUUCUGUGGUUUAAAUCAUUCAUCUUUUAAUAUCUGGAUAUGCGUCUUCUGUUUUAUUUAAUAGAAAGUAGAAAGGGUCAAAAAAGGAUGCAUCUUGGAGGCUUCCAGAUGGACCAUCGGCCAAAUGAGAACUUUUGUAUAACACCAUAUAAUGAAUUAUAUGGGUCUUCUCUGAAUUAAACGUCAUUUUAAAACCAAAUAUUCUGCUAUUGUGUCUAAACAAUUCCUAAACAGCUGAAUGGCAAUGACUGGUGUUUUUGUCUGUAAAUAUGCAGACUUACAUUUUACAUUUACGGCAUUUAGCAGACACCCUUAUCGAGAGUGACUUACAACUGAGCAACUGAGGGUUAAGGGCCUUGCUCAGGGGCCCAGCAGUGGGGCCCAGCAGUGGCAGCUUGGUGGACUUGGGGUUUGAACCCAUGACCUUCCAAUCAGUAGCCCAACACCUUAACCACUGAGCUACCACAUCCCCACUUCCUUGCUCAAGGAAAGCCACUCACACUCAGACAGUGUGACAUUCCACUCUUCAGAAAAGAGAUGGUUUGGGAGAUAGUACAUCUGAAGAUCCUAUGCAUGUAUAUCGAGAAAAGCAGGGGUCCAAGGACUGAUCCAUGAGGGACCCCAUAAUUAACUGGCAAUAAACUGGAGGAUUCACCAUUUCAUUCUACAAAAUGGUAUCGAUCGGACAGUAUCAUCCAUGACAUCAGCAGAGGUAGCAGCAGCAGCACUUAUCAGGCUUCUUCACCAAGUGAGCCAGAGAAUUCUAACAGAUUCACACAACUACAAAUAUGAGUGCUGUUUCAGUGCUGCUUGUUUAGCCAACUGUCUUUUGUACUGUACAUUUAACAAUUGUGAUUUUUGCAUCACAAACCAAGUUUACAUUUAUGGCAUUUGGCAGAAGUUUUGAAUCACUGAAUUCUUCAAAACUAUUUCAAAAGAUCACAGACUAAAGAAAGCAUCAGUCUAAAGCAUAGGGAGGAAACAUGGAACAUUUUUAAAUAUAUAUUACAAACAGGAAAAAAUAAGCACUAGUUUAAGUAUUUCAGGAAGACAGAGGCUCAGGGGAAGUUCAUUUCACUACCUUAGUGCCAGAACAAAAAUCUUAAUGUCACGCAUGGCUCAAAUAUGCAAUAGUAUGUAUUACAGACUGUCUCAGACGGACUAUUUGUCACUGCUACACUGCAAUAAACUUCUUGUUAAUUAA